rnacentral:lncRNA from 1 species
AAUCAAGUCUUACUUUUACUUCAACUAAGUUUUCAUCAGUUAGAGUGUGACUUUGGGCCACACACUUGUAUGUUCCAGUGUCUGUUCCAGCAACAUUACUGAGAGUUAAUGUUUGUUCUUCUUUUCCUGCUGCACCAAUCUGUACGUUAUCUUUAUACCAAGUUACAUUGGCUGAAGGGUUUCCACCUUCGCCUCUACAUACACAUGAGAAGUCAUCACCUUCAUCUACUGUGAUAGGACUGGGACAAUUGAUGGUCACAGCUGGC